AAAUACCUUUUAAUUGGAGCAAAAGCAAAGUGUGGACUUGAUGACAUCCUAGGACUUUCUAAGGGACUGCCUACAAUCGGGACAAACGCUAUAUAAGGAAAUAAGCAGUCGAACUGGAGCUUCCUUACUCUCCACUUUAGAUGGAAUUGGAUGUUUUUGUAUUUCUGCUUCAGUACUACAAGCAGAUUCUUCACUUUCAGCUUGAUCAAAUACGAGUACUCUGGCUGAAUUGCCAUGAGAUCGAAGACGAGGUCUACUAGGAAAGAAAACAAAGCAAGAAAUAAGUCUGAUAAACGAGAUUAUCAGAAAAUUCACAAGCCAUUCUUUCUUAUAAAAGUUCGAUCGACGUCGAGACUGACAGUUUAAAAUCGGUCGAAUGCACGAGUUGGAGAAGCAUUUGUGUAUGCCUACACUUUUGAUAGCUUAAAAUGCCGUCUCACAUACAACCCUUUCUUAUGCUGCUGCUGUAUGAAAAUUCAUAACAUAUAAAAGAACAGGAAAUAAAUUAUACUUUGGUCGAUUGAAAAGGGAACUGUAGGCGAUUCGAAGAAUCGAAGCAGGGACCCGUUUUAAAUAAGAUGUAUAUACCUGUAGACGAAAGAGAGAGAAACAAGAGUCCAACGAAAGAACAGAAGCGGGAUAUAAAAGGUUCAACGAGAGAAACAAGAGAAGAAAAUACACAACACUAAGCACACAUAAUGGAUAUGAACAUAGCAGGAGGAAGAUAAAAGAUACGCAAUUUACCGGGCACAACGGGCAUGUCCUUUGAGGACAAGCGGCCCGGGAGUAAGCAGGUGUUGUAGUCCUGGCUCUAGAGUCGCAUUUUUCUCGUCACUAUAAAAAUUAAUUACGAAAUACAGACCGACAUGGGUUCUGACUCAUGAUGGAUGUACACACAUGCACAUUCUCAUGUAUACGCAUGUGCAUUUAUACAUGGACGCACGCGCAACACUGAUGCAUGAAAACGCGCACAAAUACACGUAUCCUUGGCCACAAGUUGCACUGUAAAAUCAACAUCAUACUCUUUAUAGCGGAAUAUGAAUGCUUUCUGAUGUAUUAAAUAUAUUAGUGUUCAUA